CAAAGACUUAAAAUUAUUCUCAGUGGGUGGCUGUGUCCAAAGAGGCCUGACAAUAAUCUAUCUGGAGUGGUUACCAUGGCAAGAGGGGGGCCGUCAUGGUGGCAGUAUGUAGGAUCAUUGAAAUCGAAACACCAAUUUCCUGCUGUGAAGGGGGAAGAAUAGAGGUAGACAUAUGCUUUAUGCCUGACGUGGGCACUGCAUAUGGGAUUAAAUCUCAGGGAUAUGGGAAAAUAUGCUAGUGAUUAACAGUAUAUAAUAUUGUCUCCUAGCAUUUGAAAUAACAUUUUGUGUUUCCUAUUUGUUUGUAAGGUAUUAUGUUUUAUUUGUUUAAAGAGAAAUUAGGUUACUUUGGAAAGAAUGUACUUUAGUUUGAGUAGAUUGAUUUAAAUAUGAAGAUGGGAUCUGUUAGAUGGGACUAAUCAUCAUAUUCAGUGUGCUCCAGCCAACAUUUUCUAAAUGGCCACUCAGUGCCAGGUAUUUAUUAUGUUAGGCACCAGAGAUUUAAAAGGUAAAAUAAAAUAAUCUCUGUCACAAGGAGAUCACAAUCUGCUAUAAGGGUAGUUGUCAUGCAAAUAAGUAGAGUGAAAUGUGACAAGCAGUAUAACCCACAAUUUACAUGUUGCUAUGUAAACACAAAGAAGAAAGUAUUAAUGGCAAUCAUGGAAGGCUUCACAGAAUAAGUGACCUUUACAAUGUGUCUUGAGACAGAACAGAGGAAGAUUUCUGGGUGAAGAAAAUAGCAGGAGCCACUCUGGGAAAUUAAAUAGCAUGUGAAAAGUCACAAAAGGAAUAGUGAAUUCAGAACAUUCUAAGUAGGUUGUUAUGGCUGGAAUGUAGAUUGAGAGGUGUGGGAUGGGGUGAGUGGGGGGAGAUAUGAUUUAUAAAAUACAUUAAAAAGUGGUUGGGAAAGUUUAAAUAUUAUACUAAAGAUAAUAAAGGGCCAUCAAAAAUUUUCAAGCAGGAAAGUGCCUGAUUUGAUUUGUGGUUUAGAAAGAUUAUUCUGGAGGCUAUGUGGAGGAUGGAUGAGGAGGUCAGUUGGAAAGCUAUUGCAAUAUUCCACACGUGAGAUAAUGAGAUCCAAAGCAGUACAGAGACCAUGGAAAUGGAUAGAAUGCCACAAAUAUGAAAGCACUUCUAGAGGUUCCAAAUAUCUUGCCAACAUUAGUUUAUGAUCCAUUGUGUAUCCAAUUAUAAUGAACCUCCAUUACAAGUGAGAGAAUUGAGCCCUGGUUUCCUAAGGCACCCUGCCAUUUAGUCUCUUCAUGUGGCCAUGAAACAGAGUGAAGCUAACUGGCCUACCCAGAAAUUGAAACCAUAACCUUCAUCAGUUUU